GACGGAGGGCGCGAACGUUGUUCGGAAUCACUGGGCGUAAAGGGCGCGUAGGCGGGCCGGUAAGUCGAGGGUGAAAUUCCAGGGCUCAACUCUGGAACUGCCUUCGAAACUGCCAGUCUUGAGUGCAGGAGAGGAAGGCGGAAUUCCAGGUGUAGCGGUGGAAUGCGUAGAUAUCUGGAAGAACACCAGUGGCGAAGGCGGCCUUCUGGACUGACACUGACGCUGAUGCGCGAAAGCUGGGGGAGCAAACAGG
rnacentral:rRNA from 1 species